UCAGGUGGCUGGAUGGUCGCUGUCGGCUCGCCGGCAGAGGAAAGUCCGGGCUCCAUGGAAAUACGGUGCCGGGUAACGCCCGGCGAGGGAAACCUUAGGGAAAGUGCCACAGAAAGCAAACCGCCCCGCAUGCGGGGUAAGGGUGAAAGGGUGCGGUAAGAGCGCA
rnacentral:RNase_P_RNA from 1 species